CCCUUAGAUGUUCUGGGCCGCACGCGCGCUACACUGAUGCAUUCAACGAGCCUAUCCUUGACCGACAGGUCCGGGUAAUCUUUGAAUCUGCAUCGUGACGGGGAUAGAUUAUUGCAAUUAUUAAUCUUCAACGAGGAAUGCCUAGUAGGCGCAAGUCAUCAGCUUGCGUCGAUUACGUCCCUGCCCUUUGUACACACCGCCCUUCGCUCCUACCGAUUGGGUGUGCUGGUGAAAUGUUCGGAUCGGCCGUUUGUCGCGGUUUCCGCGGCUCGUGGCUGAGAAGUUCAUUAAACCCUCCCACCUAGAGGAAGGAGAAGUCGUAACA
rnacentral:rRNA from 1 species